rnacentral:misc_RNA from 1 species
GAUGAAGAACGUAGCGAAAUGCGAUAAGUAAUGUGAAUUGCAGAAUUCAGUGAAUCAUCGAAUCUUUGAACGCACCUUGCGCCCCCUGGUAUUCCGGGGGGCAUGCCUGUUCGAGCGUCAUUUCACCACUCAAGCCUCGCUUGGUAUUGGGCAACGCGGUCCGCCGCGUGCCUCAAAUCGACCGGCUGGGUCUUCUGUCCCCUAAGCGUUGUGGAAACUAUUCGCUAAAGGGUGUUCGGGAGGCUACGCCGUAAAACAACCCCAUUUCUAAGGUUGACCUCGGAUCAGGUAGGGAUACCCGCUGAACUUAAGCAUAUCAAUAAGCGGAGGA